rnacentral:rRNA from 1 species
AUUGAACGCUGGCGGCAGGCCUAACACAUGCAAGUCGAGCGGAUGAAAGGAGCUUGCUCCUGGAUUCAGCGGCGGACGGGUGAGUAAUGCCUAGGAAUCUGCCUGGUAGUGGGGGACAACGUUUCGAAAGGAACGCUAAUACCGCAUACGUCCUACGGGAGAAAGCAGGGGACCUUCGGGCCUUGCGCUAUCAGAUGAGCCUAGGUCGGAUUAGCUAGUUGGUGAGGUAAUGGCUCACCAAGGCGACGAUCCGUAACUGGUCUGAGAGGAUGAUCAGUCACACUGGAACUGAGACACGGUCCAGACUCCUACGGGAGGCAGCAGUGGGGAAUAUUGGACAAUGGGCGAAAUCCUGAUCCAGCCAUGCCGCGUGUGUGAAGAAUGUCUUCGGAUUGUAAAGCACUUUAAGUUGGGAUGAAGGGUUGUAGAUUAAUACUCUGCAAUUUGGACGUUAUUGAUGUAAAAAAUCUCUGGCUAACGCUGUGCCUUCAUCCUGUGUUGUUCAGUGGGUGCUAUUGGUUAUCGUUAAAUCUGUGUAGAAAGCACAAAUGAUUUGAUUGAUGUGGUAUGUGUUGAACUGCCCAUGUCGUUUUGUUGUUUUGUGUGUGUGUGUGUGUGUGGUGUGUUGGUGAGUUGUGUGAUGAUGUUGGUGUUGUUGUUGUUUUGUUGUGUGUGUGUUUUGUGUUGUGUGUUGUGUUGCUGUGUUUGUGUGUGUUGUAUGUUGUGUUUUUGUUGUUGUGUUGUGCUUGUUGUGUUAUUUGUGUUGUGUGGUGUGUGAGUUUGUGUUGGGGGUGUGUGUGGGUGUAGAUGCCUGUGGCGUGGUUUGACAUAUGUGAGUAAGAUGACAAUGUAUGCGGAUGUGUAUUGUCGCUGCUGUACCUGUUGUGCUUCGUGUGGUGAUGUUGUGUUGCUGGUGGUUGAAUAGUUGAUGUUGUGUGUGUUAUGCUGUGUUGUUGUGCUUAGUGUGUGUGUGUGAUGUUGAUUUGCA